UACGGGGGGUGCGAGCGUUGUCCGGAUUUAUUGGGCGUAAAGCGCUCGCAGGUGGCCCGAUGCGUCGUGCGUGAAAGACCCCGGCUCAACUGGGGGGCGUCGUGCGAUACGGUCGGGCUGGAGGCCAGUAGGGGGAUGCGGAAUUCCGGGUGUAGUGGUGGAAUGCGUAGAGAUCCGGAGGAACACCAGCGGCGAAGGCGGCAUCCUGGACUGGUCCUGACACUCAGGAGCGAAAGCGUGGGGAGCGAGCCGG
rnacentral:rRNA from 1 species